GGAGUUUGAUCCUGGCUCGAGAGUGAACGCGUGCGGCGUGCCUAACACAUAGCAAGUCGAACGAAGACAUACACCACGGAAGCCGUCCGGGCGGGAAGAGGGGUAUGACUGAGUGGCGGACGGGUGAGUAACGCGUGGGCAACCUGCCCUGUACCGGGGGAUAACACCCAGAAAUGGGUGCUAAUACCGCAUAAGCGCACAGUGCCGCAUGGCACGGUCGUGAAAAACUCCGGUGGUACAGGAUGGGCCCGCGUCUGAUUAGCUAGUUGGCAGGUAACGGCCUACCAAGGCAGCGAUCAGUAGCCGGCUUGAGAGAGCGACCGGCCACAUUGGGACUGAGACACGGCCCAAACUCCUACGGGAGGCAGCAGUGGGGAAUAUUGCACAAUGGGGGAAACCCUGAUGCAGCGACGCCGCGUGAGUGAAGAAGUAUUUCGGUAUGUAAAGCUCUAUCAGCAGGGAAGAAGAUGACGGUACCUGACUAAGAAGCCCCGGCUAACUACGUG
rnacentral:rRNA from 1 species